AGUGAACGCUGGCGGUAGGCCUAACACAUGCAAGUCGAACGGCAGCACAGUAAGAGCUUGCUCUUACGGGUGGCGAGUGGCGGACGGGUGAGGAAUAAAUCGGAAUCUACUUUUUCGUGGGGGAUAACGUAGGGAAACUUACGCUAAUACCGCAUACGACCUACGGGUGAAAGCAGGGGAUCUUCGGACCUUGCGCGAUUGAAUGAGCCGAUGUCGGAUUAGCUAGUUGGGGGGGUAAAGGCCCACCAAGGCGACGAUCCGUAGCUGGUCUGAGAGGAUGAUCAGCCACACUGGAACUGAGACACGGUCCAGACUCCUACGGGAGGCAGCAGUGGGGAAUAUUGGACAAUGGGCGCAAGCCUGAUCCAGCCAUACCGCGUGGGUGAAGAAGGCCUUCGGGUUGUAAAGCCCUUUUGUUGGGAAAGAAAAGCAGCAGGUUAAUACCCCGCUGUUCUGACGGUACCCAAAGAAUAAGCACCGGCUAACUUCGUG
rnacentral:rRNA from 1 species